rfam:Cavia porcellus supercont2_86 genomic scaffold, whole genome shotgun sequence.
GCCGUGGUUGUAUAGUGGUUAGUACUCUGCGUUGUGGCCACAGCAACCUCGGUUCGAAUCUGAGUCACGGCA